rnacentral:pre_miRNA from 1 species
GUGCAUUGUAGUUGCAUUGCAUGUGCAGCCAGAGAUGUGCAAUGCCCCUCCAAUGCAGCC